AUUGAACGCUGGCGGCAGGCCUAACACAUGCAAGUCGAACGAGUGGCGGACGGGUGAGUAAUGUCUGGGAAACUGCCUGAUGGAGGGGGAUAACUACUGGAAACGGUAGCUAAUACCGCAUACCAUCGGAUGUGCCCAGAUGGGCUUAGCUAGUAGGUGGGGUAAAGGCUCACCUAGGCGACGAUCCCUAGCUGGUCUGAGAGGAUGACCAGCCAACAUGGAAACGAGAAACGGGUCAGGAUCCUUCGGGAGGCAACAGUGGGGAAAAUUGGACCAUGGGCGGAAGCCUGAAGCAGCCAUGCCGUGUGGAAGAAGAAGGCCGUCGGGUUGGAAAGUAAUUUUAGCGGGGAGGAGUUACCCGCAGAAGAAGCACCGGCUAACUCCGUGCCAGCAGCCGCGGUAAUAC
rnacentral:rRNA from 1 species